UAGUUUACGUCCUCUGAAAACCCGCUUCCCAAAAGAAAGGCAAAGCCAAGUCUCUGGGCUCCCUGAACAGUGCUGUCUCUUCCAAGCAGAGAGUGGGGGGGCUCUGGAAAGCCCUGAACUCUAGGAGCAAGGAAACAGCCGUGGCCAGCAGUAGGGUCCCCCUCGGCCAGCAGCCCAGCCCUGGAACUCCAGAGGGAGCUUGCAAGAGGGUCCCCACAGAUUUCCCUGCUCUGGGGGUAGCUCUGAGUGGCCAUGUGACCCAGUUCUCAGCAAUGACUCCUUGGGAGAAAUGUCAUUCCCAAAUAAAAAGACAAGACCCCAAAAGAAUCCUGCCUGAAUUACAAAUGCAAUGCCUAUCUUUGGAUUUCUUAAUACCUAUGAAAAGUAAA
rnacentral:lncRNA from 1 species